GAUGAACGCUGGCGGCGUGCUUAACACAUGCAAGUCGAACGGGAAACCUUUUAUUGAAGCUUCGGCAGAUUUAGCUGGUUUCUAGUGGCGGACGGGUGAGUAACGCCUGGGUAACCUGCCUUAUACAGGGGGAUAACAACCAGAAAUGGUUGCUUAUACCGCAUAAGCGCACAGGACCGCAUGGUCCGGUGUGCAAAACUCCGGUGGUAUAAGAUGGACCCGCGUUGGAUUAGCUAGUUGGCAGGGUAACGGCCUACCAAGGCGACGAUCCAUAGCCGGCCAGAGAGAGUGAACGGCGACAUUGGGACUGAGACACAGCGCGGACUCCUACGGGAGGCAGCAGUGGGGAAUAUUGCACAACGGGGGAAACCAUGAUGCAGCGAGGCCGCGUGAAGGAAGAAGUAUCGCGGUAUGUAAACUUCUAUCAGCAGGGAAGGUAGUGACGGUACCUGACUAAGAAGCCCCGGCUAACUACGUG
rnacentral:rRNA from 1 species